AUUGAACGCUGGCGGCAGGCUUAACACAUGCAAGUCGAGCGAGCGGCGGACGGGUGAGUAAUGUCUGGGAAACUGCCUGAUGGAGGGGGAUAACUACUGGAAACGGUAGCUAAUACCGCAUACCAUCGGAUGUGCCCAGAUGGGAUUAGCUAGUAGGGGGGGGAAAGGCUCACCUAGGCGACGCUCACUAGCUGGUCUGAGAGGAUGACCAGCCACCCUGUGACUGAGACACGGUCCAGACUCCUACGGGAGGCAGCAGUUGGGAAUAUUGCACAAUGGGCGCAAGCCUGAUGCAGCCAUGCCGCGUGUAUGAAGAAGGCCUUCGGGUUGUAAAGUACUUUCAGCAGGGAGGCGGUACCCGCAGAAGAAGCACCGGCUAACUCCGUGCCAGCAGCCGCGGUAAUUC
rnacentral:rRNA from 1 species